AGGUAGAAGGCCCACGGGUCGUAAACUCCUUUUCUCAGAGAAGAAGCAAUGACGGUAUCUGAGGAAUAAGCAUCGGCUAACUCUGUGC
rnacentral:rRNA from 1 species